UCCAUAAGCAACUGAAGAGAAGAACAUGUAUUCAUGCCACGAGGCACGUAUGCUCCACUGUGUUGUAAUAGUCAGCAUAUUUGAGGUCAUUCCAGAUAGUAUCAACUACCAUCCUGGUGUUAUCACUUCCAUUCCUGAUUUAUGAUCCCAUCAUACAAACUUAAGGCCUCUCACCUCAUCAAUUCCCCCAAACUUCAUUUGCACUCGAACAUUAUCAUUUAAUCAGUUCUUCAUUACAUUUUGUAUUGAUGCAAAAUUCAAAGUUUAUAUGAUCUUCCAAUUCUGGAUUUAUAUUUCUAAUUUUACUAAUCAUCUCAUCUUAUGUAAAUUAAUGUCUCCCUAAUGCUAAACACUGUGAUCCAUCUGACAUAUCUCAAACAUUAGUCUAUUGUCACAAAACAUAGUUUCAUUUAUUUUCCCAUUCUCUAUGUGACUAUUCAAUCAACAAAUGCAUAAAAUUUAAAAGAUCUAUUGAUUCUGACAACACCCAUUUUUCC
rnacentral:lncRNA from 1 species